GAUGAACGCUGGCGGCGUGCCUAAUACAUGCAAGUCGAGCGAACGGACGAGAAGCUUGCUUCUCUGAUGUUAGCGGCGGACGGGUGAGUAACACGUGGAUAACCUACCUAUAAGACUGGGAUAACUUCGGGAAACCGGAGCUAAUACCGGAUGAUAUUUUGAACCGCAUGGUUCAAAAGUGAAAGACGGUCUUGCUGUCACUUAUAGAUGGAUCCGCGCUGCAUUAGCUAGUUGGUAAGGUAACGGCUUACCAAGGCAACGAUGCAUAGCCGACCUGAGAGGGUGAUCGGCCACACUGGAACUGAGACACGGUCCAGACUCCUACGGGAGGCAGCAGUAGGGAACCUUCCGCAAAGGGCGAAAGCCUGACGGAGCAACGCCGCGUGAGUGAUGAAGGUCUUCGGAUCGUAAAACUCUGUUAUUAGGGAAGAACAUAUGUGUAAGUAACUGUGCACAUCUUGACGGUACCUAAUCAGAAAGCCACGGCUAACUACGUG
rnacentral:rRNA from 1 species